AGUGCAGUGAAUAGAAGACACUUCUCUGCACCCCAAAAGCUCCAUGCUGAUUGCGAGAAGGAAAUGCUGGAUGGAGGGGUUCCUGGAACUACUGUGAGGGAAAUGGUGAGAGAACUUUGGAUGUGGAACGUGGAGGAGGAGGAACACGAAGUGGGGAUCUGCACUUGGGGUGGUCAACACUGCGGAUGCCCAGCAAAGGCACUGCCUGGUCCACCUCCCGGAGGGGUCUCUGCGCC
rnacentral:sRNA from 1 species